rnacentral:rRNA from 1 species
GACGAACGCUGGCGGCGUGCUUAACACAUGCAAGUCGAACGGAAAGGCCCUGCGUUUGUUGGGUGCUCGAGUGGCGAACGGGGGAGUAACACGUGAGUAACCUGCCCUUGACUGUGGGAUAACUUCAGGAAACUGGGGCUAAUACCGGAUAUGAUCUCCUGCUGCAUGGUGGUGGUUGGAAAGUUUCGGCUGUUGGGGAUGUACUCGCGGCUUAUCAGCUUGUUUGUGGGGUAGUGGCGUACCAAGGCUUUGACGGGUAGCCGGCCUGAGAGGGUUACCGGCCACCUUGGGACUGCGAUACGGACCAGACUCGUACGGGAGGCAGCAGUGGGGAAUAUUGCACAAUGGGCGGAAGCCUGAUGCAGAAACGCCGCGUGCGGGAUGACGGCCUUCGGGUUGUAAACCGAUUUCGCAUGUGCCGAAGCGUGAGUGACGGUAAUGGGUAAAGAAGCACCGGCUAACUACGUG